rnacentral:rRNA from 1 species
AUGAACGCUAGCUACAGGCUUAACACAUGCAAGUCGAGGGGCAGCAUUUUAGUUUGCUUGCAAACUAAAGAUGGCGACCGGCGCACGGGUGAGUAACACGUAUCCAACCUGCCGAUAACUCGGGGAUAGCCUUUCGAAAGAAAGAUUAAUAUCCGAUGGUAUAUUAAAACCGCAUGGUUUUACUAUUAAAGAAUUUCGGUUAUCGAUGGGGAUGCGUUCCAUUAGUUUGUUGGCGGGGUAACGGCCCACCAAGACUACGAUGGAUAGGGGUUCUGAGAGGAAGGUCCCCCACAUUGGAACUGAGACACGGUCCAAACUCCUACGGGAGGCAGCAGUGAGGAAUAUUGGUCAAUGGACGAGAGUCUGAACCAGCCAAGUAGCGUGAAGGAUGACUGCCCUAUGGGUUGUAAACUUCUUUUAUAUGGGAAUAAAGUAUUCCACGUGUGGGAUUUUGUAUGUACCAUAUGAAUAAGGAUCGGCUAACUCCGUGCCAGCAGCCGCGGUAAUACGGAGGAUCCGAGCGUUAUCCGGAUUUAUUGGGUUUAAAGGGAGCGUAGGUGGAUUGUUAAGUCAGUUGUGAAAGUUUGCGGCUCAACCGUAAAAUUGCAGUUGAAACUGGCAGUCUUGAGUACAGUAGAGGUGGGCGGAAUUCGUGGUGUAGCGGUGAAAUGCUUAGAUAUCACGAAGAACUCCGAUUGCGAAGGCAGCUCACUAGACUGCAACUGACACUGAUGCUCGAAAGUGUGGGUAUCAAACAGGAUUAGAUACCCUGGUAGUCCACACAGUAAACGAUGAAUACUCGCUGUUUGCGAUAUACAGUAAGCGGCCAAGCGAAAGCAUUAAGUAUUCCACCUGGGGAGUACGCCGGCAACGGUGAAACUCAAAGGAAUUGACGGGGGCCCGCACAAGCGGUGGAUUAUGUGGUUUAAUUCGAAGCAACGCGAAGAACCUUACCAGGUCUUGACAUCCGACUAACGAGAUAGAGAUAUGUCAGGUGCCCUUCGGGGAAAGUCGAGACAGGUGGUGCAUGGUUGUCGUCAGCUCGUGUCGUGAGAUGUUGGGUUAAGUCCCGCAACGAGCGCAACCCUUAUCUUUAGUUACUAACAGGUUAUGCUGAGGACUCUAGAGAGACUGCCGUCGUAAGAUGUGAGGAAGGUGGGGAUGACGUCAAAUCAUCAUGCCCCUUAUGACCUGGGCUACACACGUACUACAAUGGCGUUAAACAAAGAGAAGCAAGACCGCGAGGUGGAGCAAAACUCAGAAACAACGUCCCAGUUCGGACUGCAGGCUGCAACUCGCCUGCACGAAGUCGGAAUUGCUAGUAAUCGUGGAUCAGCAUGCCACGGUGAAUACGUUCCCGGGCCUUGUACACACCGCCCGUCAAGCCAUGGGAGCCGGGGGUACCUGAAGUCCGUAACCGCAAGGAUCGGCCUAGGGUAAAACUGGUGACUGGGGCU